GAUGAACGCUGGCGGCGUGCCUAAUACAUGCAAGUCGAGCGAACAGACGAGGAGCUUGCUCCUCUGACGUUAUCGGCGGACGGGUGAGUAACACGUGGAUAACCUACCUAUAAGACUGGGAUAACUUCGGGAAACCGGAGCUAAUACCGGAUAAUAUAUUGAACCGCAUGGUUCAAUAGUGAAAGACGGUUUUGCUGUCACUUAUAGAUGGAUCCGCGCCGCAUUAGCUAGUUGGUAAGGUAACGGCUUACCAAGGCGACGAUGCGUAGCCGACCUGAGAGGGUGAUCGGACACACUGGAACUGAGACACGGUCCAGACUCCUACGGGAGGCAGCAGUAGGGAAUCUUCCGCAAUGGGCGAAAGCCUGACGGAGCAAAGCCGCGUGAGUGAUGAAGGUCUUCGGAUCGUAAAACUCUGUUAUUAGGGAAGAACAAAUGUGUAAGUAACUAUGCACGUAUUGACGGUACCUAAUCAGAAAGCCACGGCUAACUACGUG
rnacentral:rRNA from 1 species